rnacentral:rRNA from 1 species
CGGCCGUAACUAUAACGGUCCUAAGGUAGCGAAAUUCCUUGUCGGGUAAGUUCCGACCUGCACGAAUGGCGUAAUGAUGGCCAGGCUGUCUCCACCCGAGACUCAGUGAAAUUGAACUCGCUGUGAAGAUGCAGUGUACCCGCGGCAAGACGGAAAGACCCCGUGAACCUUUACUAUAGCUUGACACUGAACAUUGAGCCUUGAUGUGUAGGAUAGGUGGGAGGCUUUGAAGUGUGGACGCCAGUCUGCAUGGAGCCGACCUUGAAAUACCACCCUUUAAUGUUUGAUGUUCUAACGUGGACCCGUGAUCCGGGUUGCGGACAGUGUCUGGUG